rnacentral:rRNA from 1 species
UACAGAGACUGCAAGCGUUAUUCGGAUUCACUGGGCGUAAAGGGUGCGCAGGCGGCUGGGUGUGUCAGAUGUGAAAUCCCGAGGCUUAACCUCGGAACUGCGUCUGAAACUACUCGACUAGAGUACUGGAGAGGGAAACGGAAUUCACGGUGUAGCAGUGAAAUGCGUAGAUAUCGUGAGGAACACCAGAUGCGAAGGCGGUUUCCUGGACAGUUACUGACGCUCAGGCACGAAAGCAUGGGGAGCAAAAGGG